GUGCCAGCAGCCGCGGUAACACGUAGGGGGCGAGCGUUGUUCGGAAUUAUUGGGCGUAAAGGGCGCGCAGGCGGCCCGGUAAGUCUGGUGUUUAAGACCGCAGCUUAACUGUGGUAAUGCGCUGGAAACUGUCGGGCUUGAGUGCAGGAGGGGGAGCUGGAAUUCCAGGUGUAGGGGUGAAAUCUGUAGAGAUCUGGAAGAACACCGGUGGCGAAGGCGAGCUCCUGGCCAUGGACUGACGCUGAGGCGCGAAAGCGUGGGGAGCAAACAGGAUUAGAUACCCUGGUAGUCCACGCUGUAAACGAUGUACACUAGGUGUCGGUGCUGAUGCAUCGGUGCCGUAGCAAACGCGUUAAGUGUACCGCCUGGGGAGUAUGCCGGCAACGGUGAAACUCAAAGGAAUUGACGGAG
rnacentral:rRNA from 1 species